AAACCACGUUUGCAAAUACGCCGCCCUCUUCCUGGUGCCCAAACGGUUUAGGCAUUCGUUUCAGUUUCAAGGAGGGGGGUAUGCCGUCGCUCCCCCCACUUCCGUGCUUUUAAAAGUUAGGAAAGGAAAAAGAGCGCCCUUGGGCUGGAACUCCAGGAGAGGCAGAUGCGGAAAGCACAGAUCUUGCACCGCCCAGCGCCACAAACUGCAGCUGCUGAGGGCGCGGGUCGCCGAGUGGGCGGCUGCAGCCUGAGGAGCGAGGCUGGAAGCGGCAUUUUAACCGUCUGGAGGCUUGUGUUGGGAUCCGAGGAACCAGCGACGCGCCCGCCAAGUUUCCUUCCCUCGGUCUCUCGCGCGCGCUCUCACUGAUGGACUUCUUCGCUCCCACCCCCUCCACCUCCUCCUGCUGCUCCAAGAUCUGCCUCGACUGAUGCGCCAGAGAGGACUAACAUGGGUAAAAAACACUCUGCGGACACAAAUUAGGGAUUGUAAUUGAAAUUUGUUGCCUUGAUCUGUCAGCACUUCCAGGCAGGAGAGCGGUGGGAAGAACUUGCUCAUUAGUGUCAAUAAAGGGGCCGGGGCGGAGUCUGGGGCCCUGUCCAUCACCGAGACGGUCGGCCAAUCAGGAGGCGCCGACUCCGCUCAGCCCGCGCCCACUUCCUUACAAGGUCGCAAAAAAACCUAGAGUGGAAAGCGCCGCCGUCUGGCUUGGAAGUGCCAGCCCCCGCGAUGAACCCGGUCAGUCUCCCUGCCUCCCACAGCCCAGUCCAGCCCGGGAGUCUCCAGCUUUCCUCACUGGGACCUGGAAAGGCUGAGGCUCCUGGCUUUAAGCUUAAAUGAUCAUCACGUUAGAAUAUCAAGAAUCUUUCAAGAAACUUUAAAUUUCCUUAUCACUUAAUAUCGCUACAACUCAGAACAUUUUGAGGCAUAGGGAGAAUUCACAGCCACCAGGCCCGGCUUUUCUCAUUUACACAUUCCUGCAUUUAGUAGCGCCCACUCUGUGCCGGGCGUGGCACUAGACUUAUUUAUUUAAGUUUUACCCUGUGGAUUUUUCUGGGGGAGGGAGAGGGAAUUCGAGAUAUAUUUAAAUCCUUUAUAUUUAGGAGAGCACAAUUUCUACAUUAUUGUUCAGUCCUUAAUACGAGCUAGUCAGGAAAAGUACGCUCUUUCCCGAGCCUCCCAUUUCUUUCAAACCAUGAUAGUUAAUUUAAAACUGGGAUUUUAAUUUUCAGGUCUUGAAUGAUAAGAACUUAGCUUUAAGACCCCUAAAAACUUCGCAAAGUGAAAUAAGUUUUAAGAUACAAUAAAAUUUCCACUGCAGUUUUUAAAAA